rnacentral:lncRNA from 1 species
GUCUAUCUUGAAAGAAUUUGUGUUAAAAAUAUCAUUUCUCAAUUCAGAAUAAAAUUGUCAUCCUUUUAUUAUUGAAGGAAAAAUGACAUUACAUAUUAACUAAGCCUAUCUUGAAGCAACAAAGUUUGGAGGGGAGGAAAUUUAUAUUCGUUCCUAAUCAUGAAAGACCAUUGUGAUUCAAACAUUAGGAGACAACAAAUCACACAAAGCAAACCAGAUAAAAAAUCUUAAGGAACUCAAAUUACAAUGCAAAAAGUAUUUUCUUUAUAUAAAUAUGGAAUACCUAAUUCUAUAUAAGAAAUGGUUAUUUUGAAAAGCCUUAUCACAUCCAACAAUCUAUACUAUAGGGUCAGAGAUUAUACCAAGACACUUUUACACACAGGAUUCCAACUAUUCCCUCAAAUUCUUACAAGACACCUUCGUACAAAACUAACUCCAAUUCUUACUAGUUUGCUUAUUAGCACUACCUAAGUAUUGAAUAUGGU